UUUGCGAAGAGGAGCAUGUAUUGAUGCUCAUUUGAUAUUGAUUUCAAUAAUUAUUUUUAAAAUAAAUUAAUUCCCAAUUUUCAAAGCAGCAAUGUUGCUUAAUAAGUGAAUAGAUUUUGUUAUAGUGAUCGUCGUAGUUUGUUGACCGAAAAGAAAUGCGUUUCUUAGUAUAAACAAUAGGCAGUGCGUUACCAGGCGCCAGAAUGUCUGAUGAGCUCGAAGCUCGGAUGUGGGACGAAGGUGGAUCCAGAUAUGAGCAGAGGAACCAUGGAGCGUACUAUGAGUCUGCGUUUGCGUCUUCAGAGCAUUUGGAUAGAGCGCCCUUGCUUGCACAGGACAGUUACACGGAGGUCACGGUGGCCGCACCAGCGGAGACGGAGGAGCAUUGUCAUUGGAAGCGGCCGGAGCCCCCCAGUGCUGUGCCGCAGCUGUUGACUGCUCUUGUGCUGUGUUUUGUGUUUAUGAUAUGCGAGCUAAUCGGCGGGUAUCUAGCCGGCAGCCUCUCGGUGAUGAGCGACGCUGCGCACAUGCUGAGCGACUGCGGCGGGUUCGCGCUCGCUCUGCUGGCCUUCCGCUGCGCGUCCAGACCGCCCACUGCACACAUGUCGUAUGGCUACCGGCGAGCUGAGGUACUCGGCGCAAUGGCGUCCGUUCUGCUCAUAUGGGCGUUAACCGGCGUGUUCGUGUACGUGGCCGCGUUGCGCGUGCGCACCGGCGAGUACACGAUCGAGCCGGACAUGAUGAUGAUCGUGUCUGGUUGUGGAGUCGCUUUCAAUGUGCUCCUGGCCUUAGUACUGCAUGGAUGCGCUUCAGAUAUUGCCCACCAUCACUCACACGGCGGCGCAGCGUGUACGCACACGCACGCGCACGCACACACGCAAGGCUCGCCUAAACGGUUUCGUUUAUUCGGACGGCGGGAUAAACCUGCUAACGGUGUGGCCAAUGGCGACUACAGUCUGAAGGAUAUGGCCGCCGCUGAGACCAGCGUGUUGGGGGGUGCGCAGAGAAAUAUAAACUUGCGAGCCGCUCUGAUUCACGUUAUCGGGGACUUGAUUCAAAGUUGUGGAGUUCUUCUCGCCGCUAUAAUCAUUAAGUUUUACCCAGAAGCGAAAGUAAUAGAUCCGAUAUGCACAUUCGUAUUCAGCAUACUGGUUCUGCUGACGUCAGCGCGCGUCGUUCGGGACGCGUUGGCCAUGUUGAUGCAAGCUGUGCCGCAGGACUUUAGGUACCGCGAGUGUGUGAGCGCGCUGUCGGCCGUGAGCGGCGUGCGGCACGUGCACUCGGUGCACGCGUGGGCGCUCUCCACGCACCACGUGGUACUCACCGCGCACGUGGCUAUCGAUGAGCUGGCGGAGUGGGAGGCUGUGCUGUCCCGGUGCCAAGCGCUGGCGCGGGCGCAGUACGGCGUGGCCAGCGCGUGCUUCCAGGUGGAGCGGUACAGCGCCGAGAUGUCCGCCUGCCGCAGCUGCGCGCACCUCGCCGCGCCCUGACACCUUUCCACGCUGUGCCGUUAGGUGACGCUCUCUGCUCCACGCUGUGCCGUUAGAUCCAAACUGACAAACAACAACACGGCACGGGCGAGGGACUCAAUGUUGAAAUACCAAACGUGACAAGUCUGUAACUAUUGUAAUAAAGUAUUAGAAGUAUUUGCCAAAUUCCAAAUGUUUAUGUAUAUUUAGGUAAGAAAAGCAAAAAAGGAGUCAAAUAAAUAUUAUUAAUAAGUUGUUACUUCUGAUAAAAAUUAUAUAGAAAAUUAAGCAUCGGAAAAAACAUCGGAACAAAUCCAGUCGUCAAAGUUACAGUUUAAAAAUAUUCAGUGUUAGGUAGUUAUUGUUUAUAUAGAAAUUACAAUUUUUAAUAUAUUUUUAAAUAAUCCAGUUGUGUCACAGUUUAAAUGAUCUCAUUCUUGCUCAUUAUAUUUGUUAUACAGUUCAGCACAAAACUUGAAUGUACUUAGUAUUAAUUUAUUUUUAUUUAGAUAACUUAUUUUCAUACUAAACAUUGUUCUAUAGUUUUCGAAUAUAUAAACA